rnacentral:rRNA from 1 species
CCUACGGGAGGCAGCAGUAGGGAAUCUUCGGCAAUGGACGAAAGUCUGACCGAGCAACGCCGCGUGAGUGAAGAAGGUUUUCGGAUCGUAAAACUCUGUUGUUAGAGAAGAACAAGGACGUUAGUAACUGAACGUCCCCUGACGGUAUCUAACCAGAAAGCCACGGCUAACUACGUGCCGGCAGCCGCGGUAAUACGUAGGUGGCAAGCGUUGUCCGGAUUUAUUGGGCGUAAAGCGAGCGCAGGCGGUUUCUUAAGUCUGAUGUGAAAGCCCCCGGCUCAACCGGGGAGGGUCAUUGGAAACUGGGAGACUUGAGUGCAGAAGAGGAGAGUGGAAUUCCAUGUGUAGCGGUGAAAUGCGUAGAUAUAUGGAGGAACACCAGUGGCGAAGGCGGCUCUCUGGUCUGUAACUGACGCUGAGGCUCGAAAGCGUGGGGAGCAAACAGGAUUAGAUACCCUGGUAGUCCACGCCGUAAACGAUGAGUGCUAAGUGUUGGAGGGUUUCCGCCCUUCAGUGCUGCNGCAACGACAUAAGACACNCCGCCGUCGGGAGGUACGACCGCGAGGUUAGAACGUACAAUAGAAGUUAGUACGGCGUGAGACGUAGCCGAACGGACGACGACGAGGGAGGAGGG